GCGCGGAUGGCGGAAUUGGUAGACGCGCUAGCUUGAGGUGCUAGUGGGUAACUCCGUGGGGGUUCGAGUCCCCCUCCGCGCACCA
rnacentral:tRNA from 1 species